GACAGAGGUGCCGAGCGUUAGGCGGAAUCACUGGGCUUAAAGCGUGUGUAGGCGGGCCGUUAAGUGCCCCGUGAAAUCCCCCGGCUCAACCGGGGAACGGCGGGGCAUACUGGCGGCCUUGAGCCACUUAAGGGCAGACGGAACAAGCGGUGGAGCGGUGAAAUGCGUAGAUAUCGCUUGGAACGCCGACGGCGAAAGCAGUCUGCUGGGCCGACACUGACACUGAGAGACGAAAGCUAGGGGAGCGAAUGGG
rnacentral:rRNA from 1 species